rnacentral:ncRNA from 1 species
GAAGAAGCGAGGAUAGAGAAAGUACACAAAGAAAGAUCAACAGGGAAAAAAUGUUUUGACUGAGAACAUUUUUAGUUCGGAAUUUGUGGAAAGACACUCUGGAGCUAGUGAACUGAAAAGAUAGUAGGUUUAAUCGUAUUUCUGCGUUAAGGAAAAAAGUGGGAUAAUUCCAAUCAGGGUGGCACCACGGGAGAUACUCUCGUCCCUGAC